rnacentral:rRNA from 1 species
UACGUAGGGCGCAAGCGUUGUCCGGAAUUAUUGGGCGUAAAGCGCGCGUAGGCGGCUACCUAAGUCGGAUGUGAAAGCCCCUGGCUUAACCGGGGAAGUGCACCCGAAACUGGGUAGCUAGAGUGCAAAAGAGGGUCGCGGAAUUCCCAGUGUAGAGGUGAAAUUCGUAGAUAUUGGGAGGAACACCGGUGGCGAAGGCGGCGACCUGGGUUGACACUGACGCUGAGGCGCGAAAGCGUGGGGAGCAAACAGG